CUAUGCUGUGCCAUAACUGGCACAAUGUGAGCAUGUGGGCUGGAUAAAUGUGCUAUUGUGCUCGUUUGGCUGCUUUGCAGGAAGUAUCUGCAGUCACGCAGAUAAAUGGAUAUGGAGGAUGGGGACAGCACAGAUGACACUGCAAGGUACCUACUUUCUGGAGUAGAAAGAAGACAUUUCCUCAGCUCUUGGAGGAGGAAACUGUCUCUAAGAGAUGAAGUGAGGAACUUAACUUCAGUCACACAGCUAAGAUGCAGAAUGUGCAAACGUCAGCUUAGCCAAAGUUUUUGCCCUUUGGAACUCUUGUAUGGAGGCCAAUCAGCUUUGGAAAAGAGACAGAGUUUCACUUUAUCACCCUCGGUAGAGUGCCGUGGUGUCACACAGCUCACAGCAAC